AAGUCGAGCGGAUUGAUGGGAGCUUGCUCCCUGAUAUCAGCGGCGGACGGGUGAGUAACACGUGGGUAACCUGCCUGUAAGAUCGGGAUAACUCCGGGAAACCGGGGCUAAUACCGGAUAAUUCAUUCCCUCGCAUGAGGGAAUGUUGAAAGGUGGCUUUUAGCUACCACUUACAGAUGGACCCGCGGCGCAUUAGCUAGUUGGUGAGGUAACGGCUCACCAAGGCGACGAUGCGUAGCCGACCUGAGAGGGUGAUCGGCCACACUGGGACUGAGACACGGCCCAGACUCCUACGGGAGGCAGCAGUAGGGAAUCUUCCGCAAUGGACGAAAGUCUGACGGAGCAACGCCGCGUGAGUGAUGAAGGUUUUCGGAUCGUAAAGCUCUGUUGUUAGGGAAGAACAAGUGCCGUUCGAAUAGGGCGGCACCUUGACGGUACCUAACCAGAAAGCCACGGCUAACUACGUGCCAGCAGCCGCGGUAAUACGUAGGUGGCAAGCGUUGUCCGGAAUUAUUGGGCGUAAAGCGCGCGCAGGUGGUUCCUUAAGUCUGAUGUGAAAGCCCACGGCUCAACCGUGGAGGGUCAUUGGAAACUGGGGAA
rnacentral:rRNA from 2 species